rnacentral:rRNA from 1 species
UGGGGAAUAUUGCACAAUGGGCGCAAGCCUGAUGCAGCCAUGCCGCGUGUGUGAAGAAGGCCUUCGGGUUGUAAAGCACUUUCAGCGGGGAGGAAGGCGUUAAGGUUAAUAACCUUGGCGAUUGACGUUACCCGCAGAAGAAGCACCGGCUAACUCCGUGCCAGCAGCCGCGGUAAUACGGAGGGUGCAAGCGUUAAUCGGAAUUACUGGGCGUAAAGCGCACGCAGGCGGUCUGUCAAGUCGGAUGUGAAAUCCCCGGGCUCAACCUGGGAACUGCAUUCGAAAAUGGCAGGCUAGAAUCUUGUAGAAGGGGGUAGAAUUCCAGGUGUAGCGGUGAAAUGCGGAGAGAUCUGGAGGAAUACCGGUGGCGAAGGCGGCCCCCUGGACAAAGACUGACGCUGAGGUGCGAAAGCGUGGGGAGCAAACAGG